rnacentral:lncRNA from 1 species
UUUCCUAAACUCCUAUAAGUAAUUUUGUUUAUAAAGGCUGCUUUUCUUCUGGCAUUUGCAUUUCCAUGUCUGCAGAAUUAAUCUUACUAAAUACAGUGAUGGAAACCAUUGUCAACUUUAGUUUAAGAAAUUAGGUACCAAUUCCAAAUGUUUUAUGAUUUAAAGCUCUAUGAAUCUGUCAUACUUGUGGAGAAUGAGGUUAGCACUGGUUUGCUACAUAUGCAGGUUGUGCCAGCAACUGCCAUUCCUGAUGGCUGGAUGGGAUUGGAUAUUGGACCAGAUUCUGUUAAGACAUUCAACGAAGCUUUAGAUACUACCAAAACUGUCAUCUGGAAUGGCCCAAUGGGAGUGUUUGAGUUUGACAAGUUCGCUGUUGGAACAGAGGUAUGCAAGAAAUGCUUGGCAUUGUUUUUCAUAUUGCUAUUCAUGGUUCUGUUUAUAUCAGAAUCAUGCUUCUAUUUUCUUUGCAUUCCCAGAUGUAUAUACAAUUAGCAAAAUGUUCCAUUUGAUACCAAUUAUAGCAUACGACAUGCCCUGCUUUUAGGUUGACAUUCAAUGUGAAAUCUAGAUCUUUAUCCAAAAUGCAUAAAAACCUACAGUAGAAGUGAUCUUGUGCUCCAAAUUGGCCGAGCAAUGCAUCUAUUACAAGUUUUUAUGUAUUCAUCAACCAUAUUGACGCACUCCACAAGGCAACCUGUUAAACUCAAUCCAAACCCUACCACAUCUGAUUUAGAGCACCUGCCCAUCUGUUUUGGAAUCGAUAGACAGCCAACUAAAAUAGUGAUUCUGCUUGCAGGCAAUCGCAAAGAAGCUAGCAGACCUCAGUGGCAAGGGCGUAACAACAAUCAUUGGAGGUGGAGACUCUGUAGCCGCCGUUGAAAAAGUUAGACCUCAGUGGCAAGGGCGUAACAACAAAUAGUGAUUCUGCUUGCAGGCAAUCGCAAAGAAGCUAGCAGACCUCAGUGGCAAGGGCGUAACAACAAUCAUUGGAGGUGGAGACUCUGUAGCCGCCGUUGAAAAAGUUGGAGUUGCCGGUGUCAUGAGCCACAUAUCAACUGGUGGUGGUGCCAGUUUGGAGUUGUUGGAAGGCAAAGAGCUUCCAGGUGUCGUUGCUCUUGAUGAAGCUACACCAGUUGCCGUGUAAGAUCAAAAUUAUUAUUAUUAUUAUUAUUCUUUUUGGCCCACUUUUCAAUGUGAUUUAUGUUUGUAAACGAGAAAUGAAAACCUUGUAGGAAGAUAUGAGUUCAUCUUGUAAAUUUUCACCUUUGUGAUCAAUGUAUGGUCCCAUUCUUGCUGAAAUUGCUACCAAUCACUGUAUGGAUAGGGCAAGCAGAGCCACCCAAUCUUUU